rnacentral:tRNA from 1 species
GUGAUGGCUCAGUGGUUAGAGCACUGGCUGCUCUUCCAGAGGUCCUGAGUUCAAAUCCCAGCAACCACA